UCUCAGUUCAGAUUGUAGGCUGAAACUCGCCUAUAUGAAGUCGGAAUUGCUAGUAAUCGCAGAUCAGCAUGCUGCGGUGAAUACGUUCCCGGGCCUUGUACACACCGCCCGUCACACCAUGAGAGUCGAUAACACCCGAAGCCUGUAGUCUAACCAUAAGGAGGACGCAGUCGAAGGUGGGAUUGAUAAUUAGGGUGAAGUCGUAACAAGGUAAC
rnacentral:rRNA from 1 species